GGAAGGGUCAAACCAGCUGCCCAGACGCAUGUCAUUGCUGAUGAAGAUGGAGUGCACCUCGAUGCGGCUGUCCCGCUUCUGCAACAGAUGGCUUCUCUGAAAAUGCCACAAGAGCAGGAACACUGCAUUAUUCUUCACCGACAUGUUCUCAGAAACCAGGAUUGUUCCUGGUGCUUGGUGCCUCUGUCAGAGCCGCAUCUCCGGGUUGCGAGGCAGCCUCCACGCCCUGCAAGGCCCCGUCUCCGUGUACCAUUUCUAUCUUCUCCCACACAAGCUGGCCGAGACUUCCUUCUCCAAGAUGAGGAAUGGAGGUAUUCUGAAGCUGCAUGGCUCACAUAAGGUCACAAAGCUGGUCAGUAACAGAGUGUCUCAGUCUUUGGGGGCUGCUCUCAGAAAAUACCACAGACCGAGUGGCUUAUAAACAACAGAAGUUUAUUGCUCACGGUUCAAGAAGCUGGAAGUCCAAGAUCAGAAUGCCACCACGGUCAGGUUCUGGGGAAGGCCCUCUCUGGGUCGAGUGUGGCUCACUUCUCACUGUGUCUUCACAUGGCCGAAGGUGAGAAGGAUGUCUCUGGGGCCUCUGUUAUAAGAGCACUAAUCCCUAAUCACCUCCCAAAGGCCCCCACCUCCCUGGGCAUUAUAUUUUCAACGUAUGAAUUUGGGGCGGGGGGGGCGGGACGCAAACAUUCAAACCAGAACCCAGAACAAGGAUUCAAAACCAAGCCCUAAAUCUGCAUCUCAAGGUAACCUUGCUAUUAGCUAUACGUGUAACAAGCAAGGACUAGUAUGUGCUGGGUGCCUCCUAGAACUAUUCUACGUACUUCAUUCAUCCAGCAAAAUUCCUUGUGCACCUGUGCACAGGCAGUCUGUAGCAAACAUGUAUCAAACAAACCAGGCAAGUCCUAACGCCCUCAGAUAUAUCCACAUUAGCUCAUUAAGUCCUCGUGACGCAUGUCUUUGGUAGGGAUCACGUCCAUUUGCAUAGAUAACAAGAAGACAACCACCUGAGACGUGAGGUUAUGAGAUAACCUGGUAGGGGCCAAGGACACAGGAUCUGCGAAAGCUCUGCCAACAAUCAAUCAACCAAUCAACGAGUAUUUAUUGAGCAGCCACUGUUGAAUUCCAUACAAUUCAUCAAACAUUCACAGAACGCCUUUCCUGGAGUUCUUCAAGGAGUCGGCCCUGAUACCCCUGACCUGUCCUGGCUCCAGAUACCUCUGGCCUGCAGCAGGCACACGCGUUGCAGUUUUCCAUCCUUUACUGAGAACGUGGGGUGAAAGUCUGGCUCCUCCACACACCAAACGCUCCACAGGGGGAACUACAACCUGUGGGGAAGGCAGGUGCAUAUGCAACGGGCCGAGAUGCAUCCAAGUGGAGCGGAAGCUAUGUGUCAGUGAACGCUGAGGAAAACACAGCUUUAAACAAAGGGAACAUGAGGGAAGAAGGGCAGAGGAGACUCAACUGAGCUGGUCCU